GAAAAAUCCAACUUAAACUAUCCUAUUCUUUAAAAACACCCCGCAGUUCAAAUUUUCUGGCAUCCCACCCCUUAAUUCUACAAGCCAUCGUUCUAUCUUCAAUUGUUCUGUAUCAUUGUUGCCCUUAAUGGAGAUUUCGUAGAAAUAGAAACCGUUAGAGUCCCUUUGUUCUUAUUUCCUCCGACUUAUUUCAAACGUCGUUCAGAGAUCUUCCAUCCUCUUCGGUCGUCGAUUCCGUUUUUGGGGGAGCCUCCUCGAUCCAAAUCCUCAAUUUUGUCUAUUGUUUUCUUUCCUCAGUCAUCGCAUGAGCCGCAUGAUUUACCAAAAAUAGCAGGUAAAGCUUUUGAAUCUUUGUGCUUUUUCUUUUAUUUCUUAUACAAUCGUCGCGAUACUCGAUCUGUCCUCAUCUCCUGUUUGGAUUUUUUUAUGACUGUUAAGAAGUCACCUUCUACUGUCAGUUUAUGAAACCCUAGUUCCUUAGCCACCAUCACUGAUUGUAGACAUGCUUUCGCCUCUAUCGUGGUUGCAUCGGCUAUAAAAUUGCUCUGUUUUGGCCUUGGGACUAGGAGAGGCAUCGAUCCCUACCCCUUGCAGGAUAUUUUUGACAAACAUACAGUCCCAGAAUAUAUGGUUCACCGAUUCUUCCGUUGAGUGACAUAGUGGGUAAUCGUUCAUCACCCUCACUUUCUUAGAUUGAAGGUUGUUAAGAGUAGGAAUAUAGUUAUUUAUUACUUUCCACAUUCUAAUUUUGAUCUUGCUUGCAAUUUGUAAGUUCCAUAGUCUGGUGUAGAAGUUCUGUAAAAUCGUCGGUUGUAGCAUUACUUCCUUUUACAUUUGUGUUGUAUCUUCUUUAAACAACCACUUGUAUUCUCUUUUUGUUGAGUACACUCAUGUAUUAUCACCCCUCUAAAACCCUGAUGUCCUUGAUGUUGACUCCAACAAUUGGGAUGGUAUGAAUUCUGUUUGCUUGCUCCUCGUCAAAAAGCUUUCUUAGGACUUCUGACCUCUAGGCCUUGGAAGCUAAGCUUCGUUCCAUAUAUUGAUUGAUUUGCCAUUUCUUACCCUUCAUCCUAUGUCUACCUCAAAAAGUUCUCUCGCGCACCAUAUGCUCCUCCAGGUAAAUGAUAGGUGAAAUCCUAAACUUGUAUUAAAAAAUUCACUAUUUGAGUAAUAUUUUACUUUCAUAACA